AUUGAACGCUGGCGGCAUGCCUUACACAUGCAAGUCGAACGGUAACAGGUUAAGCUGCCGAGUGGCGAACGGGUGAGUAAUGUAUCGGAACGUGCCCAGUCGUGGGGGAUAACUGCUCGAAGGAGCAGCUAAUACCGCAUACGACCUGAGGGUGAAAGCGGGGGAUCGCAAGACCUCGCGCGAUUGGAGCGGCCGAUAUCCGAUUAGGUAGUUGGUGAGGUAAAGGCUCACCAAGCCGACGAUCUGUAGCUGGUCUGAGAGGACGACCAGCCACACUGGGACUGAGACACGGCCCAGACUCCUACGGGAGGCAGCAGUGGGGAAUUUUGGACAAUGGGCGCAAGCCUGAUCCAGCCAUGCCGCGUGCGGGAAGAAGGCCUUCGGGUUGUAAACCGCUUUUGUCAGGGAAGAAAAGGUUCUGGCUAAUACCUGGGACUCAUGACGGUACCUGAAGAAUAAGCACCGGCUAACUACGUG
rnacentral:rRNA from 1 species